rnacentral:rRNA from 4 species
GGACAAAUGAUUGGGGUGAAGUCGUAACAAGGUAGCCGUAUCGGAAGGUGCGGCUGGAUCACCUCCUUUCUAAGGA